rnacentral:rRNA from 1 species
GACGAACGCUGGCGGCGUGCCUAAUACAUGCAAGUAGAACGCUGAAGGAGGAGCUUGCUUCUCCGGAUGAGUUGCGAACGGGUGAGUAACGCGUAGGUAACCUGCCUGGUAGCGGGGGAUAACUAUUGGAAACGAUAGCUAAUACCGCAUAAUAGUAGAUGUUGCAUGACAUUUACUUAAAAGGUGCAAUUGCAUCACUACCAGAUGGACCUGCGUUGUAUUAGCUAGUUGGUGGGGUAACGGCUCACCAAGGCGACGAUACAUAGCCGACCUGAGAGGGUGAUCGGCCACACUGGGACUGAGACACGGCCCAGACUCCUACGGGAGGCAGCAGUAGGGAAUCUUCGGCAAUGGACGGAAGUCUGACCGAGCAACGCCGCGUGAGUGAAGAAGGUUUUCGGAUCGUAAAGCUCUGUUGUAAGAGAAGAACGAGUGUGGGAGUGGAAAGUUCACACUGUGACGGUAUCUUACCAGAAAGGGACGGCUAACUACGUGCCAGCAGCCGCGGUAAUACGUAGGUCCCGAGCGUUGUCCGGAUUUAUUGGGCGUAAAGCGAGCGCAGGCGGUUAGAUAAGUCUGAAGUUAAAGGCUGUGGCUUAACCAUAGUACGCUUUGGAAACUGUUUAACUUGAGUGCAAGAGGGGAGAGUGGAAUUCCAUGUGUAGCGGUGAAAUGCGUAGAUAUAUGGAGGAACACCGGUGGCGAAAGCGGCUCUCUGGCUUGUAACUGACGCUGAGGCUCGAAAGCGUGGGGAGCAAACAGG